UACAGAGGUCUCAAGCGUUGUUCGGAUUCAUUGGGCGUAAAGGGUGCGUAGGCGGCGCGGUAAGUCGGGUGUGAAAUCUUGGAGCUUAACUCCGAAACUGCAUUCGAUACUGCCGUGCUUGAGGACUGGAGAGGAGACUGGAAUUUACGGUGUAGCGGUGAAAUGCGUAGAUAUCGUAAGGAAGACCAGUGGCGAAGGCGGGUCUCGUGGACAGUUCCUGACGCUGGAGGCACGAAGGCCAGGGGAGCAAACGGG
rnacentral:rRNA from 1 species